rnacentral:lncRNA from 1 species
CGUCUAAUUUUCACAGAAACCGUUAAGUUGUGAUGACGUGGCAAGGCAUUUUCCAAAAAAAAAAAAAACAAAGGAAUUUUUUUAUAUUUUUCCAGAUCUUCAUUUUCUUCCUUCCUCUUCUUCAUUAUCUUCAUCAUCAUUUUCAUAAAUUCAUCUGAAAAAAUGCAGAUCUUCAAACAAAACCCAGAAGAAAAAUGCAGAUCUUCAAACAACACCAUCUUCAUCGUCAUUUUCAUAAAUCCUUAAUUAAAAUAACAGAAUCAAAUUGAAAUCUGGCCAUUGUAACUACCCAGAAAAACUCAGAUUUUCAUAAAUCUUUAAGAAAAGAAUCGACCAACACAGAUAUAGCCACUGUUUAAAUCUGGUCGUCGUAGCUACCCACAGCGAACAACCUUUGUCACGUUACUGUUCAACGACACAAAGAGAAGGAUCUUGUGCGAAAGCGAGAACAUGAAUUUGCUCGGGGUGAAACAUAUCAACAAGCGUCAGAUCAACGAUGUUCAUUCAAAGGAAGGAGACGAAUUGUUCAUGGGUUUCGUUCUUCCCAGACGGUUACUGUUCAUGCCAUUCUCGCAUCAAGAAAACUCCAUUAGUCCCUCUCUUCUUUGCUAACAUUGUGUUUGUGCACAUGGUCCAAAUACCAAGCCCA